CCGCAAAAAGACCCUUUUGUUCAAAUGCCACCACUGUCGCCGUGCAGGUCGGGAAGAUGGUCGGGCUCGCGGUGGGUGGAACCAUCAUGCUCGACGCGCUAUUCGCCGGGCCAGUGUUGGGGUGUCGAUGAACCUGGGAAGGGAACAUCGGGCCGGCGCUAGCGGGGAGCAAGUACAAGGCCAUGUGGGUACACAUCGUCGGGCCUUUCGCCGGCGCGGUGGUCGGGGCGUGGCGUACAACCUUGUCCGCCGCACCGAUAGGACCCUCGGAGAGAUGACCAAGAGUGCCACACCAGCCGCGAAUUGAUCAACAAUGAGCUACUACGACGGAUCUCAGAGCGGAUUGGAGUCCGAUCGUGCCCACGCUCCUCUCUACUUGCCCGGUAUGUUAGUAUGUAUACGACCAUUUCCCUCGAUAAAAUAAUGCAUCGUUCUCGCUUUAGUGAUCUCUUUCUACCUUUAAUUUUGCAAUCAGAGUGCGCUCUUUGAAAUUUGAAUAUCUGACAAAGCACAGAUAUUCAAAUCGUGCGUGUCAUGUGCGUUCCAUAGGCAGCAGUGCACAUACUGUAAUUAUAGGCAACUUGCCGACGAUUUGGUAGCUUGCCUGCUCAUGCCACCCAAUUAGUUUUGUUAACUUGCUCAUCUGCAGGUCACGCCGAUGGCAUAAACAAAACAAGGGUCUGACAAAACUCUAUGUGGACCAUGCGCUGCUUUCUCACUAUUAGCAUGGGAAAAUGGCAAACGGUUUACUGUGUAGUAGGUGAUGACUGCUGAAGGUAGCAUGGUUAAUUAAUGGAUGGCGACAUGCCGACAUGUGUGCUGUUUGACUGUUAGGAGGAUAGAAACCACAGUUGUAGUAGCACUGAAGCCACAAAUUCUGCUAGAGAUGUGCAGCUGAGCUGGAUGCUCUCUUGAUUGCACGCAUAGACAUGGGUUUAAUUUAGACCAUGUCACAUAAAAAAGAAUCUUAGCAUCUAAAAUUAUUAAAUAAAAUCUAAUUACAAAACUAAUUGCAGAAUCUUGAGACUAAACUACGAGACAAAUCUAAUGAGGUAUAUUAAUCCAUAAUUAAUGAAUGAUUACUGUAGCAUUAGUGUAGCAAAUCAUGAAUUAAUUAGGCUCAUUAGAUUCAUCUCGCGAAUUAGCACCCAUCUGUUAAAAAAAUUAUAAAUAAAUUUUAUUUAAUACUUCUAAAUAGUAAGAUUUCUUUUGAUGUAAUAGGAGCUAAAAAAAGCCUCCGAAAACAAACAGCACCUUACUUUCACACAUGUUGUUUACAUGCAACCAUAUUUUUGCGAAGGCAUUACUUCUCGUGUAUAUUGACUUCCAUAUAAUGUAUAAGUUUUAUUGUAGUCACUAAUAAGUUCUGGAUAAUUACCAAAGUAUAUCAUUGUUAUUUUAUUUGCAGUCCCUCAUUCAUCAAUAACAGAUGAACUUAUAGGUUAUAUAUUUCCUCUAACCAGGAUGUUUCUUGUGUUGUAUUUACCAAAUUGGCAAAGCGCACAGGGAAGUGAUAUGCAAUGGUUCUAAUGGAGAUGACAAAGGAUUAUUUGUUUCUUGUGUUGUAUUUUUCUCUUGUAAGUGGAGUUGAAUUCCAUUGACAGCCACAUAACUAGCCAUGUCAGCAGCCACGUCAUCCUCCAUAUCAUGCUGCGCCAUGGCAGCUGGCUCCUGCACUCCGCUACCACUGGCACAUCCUCUUCCAUUGCCGUCGAGUUGGCGGGCAUAGCUUGUCAAGCCUUGCCUCCACUAUGUAAGAAAAUAUAUAUAGUGACGGGCAUCAUCUCCCUAAGGUGACGGGCAUCGUGCCGGUCAUUUCUUCGGCGUCACUGUUUAGAAUAAAAAGGUGACGGGCGUCUGUGUUGAUGCUCAGUAAUGACCAAUUCUAGACGUCAACUUGAUCAGAAAAUCA